UACGAAGGGGGCUAGCGUUGCUCGGAAUUACUGGGCGUAAAGGGCGCGUAGGCGGACAUUUAAGUCAGAGGUGAAAUCCCGGAGCUUAACUUCGGAACUGCCUUUGAUACUGGGUGUCUUGAGUGUGAGAGAGGUAUGUGGAACUCCGAGUGUAGAGGUGAAAUGCGUAGAUACUCGGAAGAACACCAGUGGCGAAGGCAACAUACUGGCUCAUUACUGACGCUGAGGCGCGAAAGCGUGGGGAGCAAACAGG
rnacentral:rRNA from 1 species